rnacentral:lncRNA from 1 species
CUGAAAAUCAAAAUAAUUAUUGAGGAAAUUGUGUGACAGGGCCCAGAUUCCAUAUAUUGCUGCAGGGAUUACAAGCCUUGGAGAAGAAAGUGCCAUGGUGGUACCACUCAAUGUUUUCUCUAACAUAUUCUUCAGGUCCUGGCUUCUUAUUCCAAUUCUAGUUUAUGAAGAAAAGCUUCAGAAAAUAAUCAUAAGAUGAUAACAGAUGAUAGAAGCUAGCAAUGAUUGAAACACUUACUUUUUCAAUUUCUUCUGCAUAAAAGUUUCAGGAACGGCUGCCCUCGACAGGUUAUCAGUAUGAUGAUAAAGAAGUUGGAGGUACAAACAACUGUUCCACAAGCAAG